rnacentral:misc_RNA from 1 species
CACUAAAGCCAUUAACAUGUGCUCCAUUUUUUUCUUCUCUAAAUAGCUUCAAUUGCCCAUGUUCUCUUGUAUCUAUUCCAACAAUACAUUCAAGAUUAAGACCCUUAUUGGCUCAAAUGGCAGCAACUGGUGAAGUAGAGCCACAAGUCAUUGACUCACAUUUACAUGUCUGGGCAUCCCCACAAGAGGCUGCAGAAAAGUAUCCCUAUUUUCCUGGUCAAGAACCUAGUUUGACAGGUCAUGUCGAAUUUCUGCUGGAGUGUAUGGAAGAAGCAGGUGUUGAUGGAGCACUCAUUGUUCAGCCCAUUAAUCAUAAGUUUGAUCAUUCUUAUGUUACGAGUGUGCUGAAGAAGUUCCCUUCCAAAUUCGUCGGUUGUUGCCUCGCGAAUCCAGCAGAAGAUGGGAGCGGGAUAAAGCAUCUUGAAGAUCUGG